UACGGAGGGGGCUAGCGUUGUUCGGAAUUACUGGGCGUAAAGCGCACGUAGGCGGAUUGUUAAGUCAGGGGUGAAAUCCUGGAGCUCAACUCCAGAACUGCCUUUGAUACUGGCGAUCUCGAGUCCGGGAGAGGUGAGUGGAACUGCGAGUGUAGAGGUGAAAUUCGUAGAUAUUCGCAAGAACACCAGUGGCGAAGGCGGCCCACUGGCCCGAUACUGACGCUGAGGCACGAAAGCGUGGGAGCAAACAGGA
rnacentral:rRNA from 1 species